GGCCUUGUGGUCUAGUGGUAUGAUUCUCGCUUAGGGUGCGAGAGGUCCCGGAUUCGAUCUUGUGGUCUAGUGGUAUGAUUCUCGCUUAGGGUG
rnacentral:tRNA from 1 species